CUGGAGGGAUGGCUCAGAGGUUAAGAGCAC
rnacentral:piRNA from 1 species